rnacentral:tRNA from 1 species
GCGGGUGGUCAAUUCUCCCUUGGUAAGGGAGAGGUCGAGAGUUCGAUUCUCUCUGGCAGCACCA